UACGUAGGGUGCAAGCGUUAAUCGGAAUUACUGGGCGUAAAGCGUGCGCAGGCGGUGAUGUAAGACAGAUGUGAAAUCCCCGGGCUCAACCUGGGAACUGCAUUUGUGACUGCAUCGCUAGAGUACGGCAGAGGGGGAUGGAAUUCCGCGUGUAGCAGUGAAAUGCGUAGAUAUGCGGAGGAACACCGAUGGCGAAGGCAAUCCCCUGGGCCUGUACUGACGCUCAUGCACGAAAGCGUGGGGAGCAACAGG
rnacentral:rRNA from 1 species